rnacentral:rRNA from 1 species
CGCGGCCUAUCAGCUUGUUGGUGGGGUAAUGGCCUACCAAGGCGACGACAGGUAGCCGGCCUGAGAGGGCGACCGGCCACACUGGGACUGAGACACGGCCCAGACUCCUACGGGAGGCAGCAGUGGGGAAUAUUGCACAAUGGGCGAAAGCCUGAUGCAGCGACGCCGCGUGAGGGGUGACGGCCUUCGGGUUGUAAACCUCUUUCAGCAGGGACGAAGCGUAAGUGACGGUACCUGCAGAAGAAGCGCCGGCCGACUACGUGCCACCAGCCGCGGUAAGACGUACGGCGCGAGCGUUGUCCGGAUUUAUUGGGCGUAAAGAGCUCGUAGGCGGCUUGUCGCGUCGACUGUGAAAACCCGCAGCUCAACUGCGGGCCUGCAGUCCAUACCGGCAGGCUAGAGUUCGGUAGGGGAGACUGGAAUUCCUGGUGUAGCGGUGGAAUGCGCAUAUAUCAGGAGGAACACCGGUGGCGAAGGCGGGUCUCUGGGCCGAUACUGACACUGAGGAGCGAAAGCGUGGGGAGCGAACAGGAUUAGAUACCCUGGUAGUCCACGCUGUAAACGUUGGGCGCUAGGUGUGGGAGACCUCUCCGGUUCUCUGUGCCGCAGCUAACGCAUUAAGCGCCCCGCCUGGGGAGUACGG